ACUAAGCGUACACGGUGGAUGCCCUGGCAGUCAGAGGCGAUGAAGGGCGUGCUAAUCUGCGAUAAGCGCCGGUAAGGUGAUAUGAACCGUUAUAACCGGCGAUACCCGAAUGGGGAAACCCAGUGUGAUUCGUCACACUAUCAUUAACUGAAUCCAUAGGUUAAUGAGGCGAACCGGGGGAACUGAAACAUCUAAGUACCCCGAGGAAAAGAAAUCAACCGAGAUUCCCCCAGUAGCGGCGAGCGAACGGGGAGGAGCCCAGAGCCUGAAUCAGCAUGUGUGUUAGUGGAAGCGUCUGGAAAGGCGCGCGAUACAGGGUGACAGCCCCGUACACAAAAGCGCAUGUGCUGUGAGCUCGAUGAGUAGGGCGGGACACGUGGUAUCCUGUCUGAAUAUGGGGGGACCAUCCUCCAAGGCUAAAUACUCCUGACUGACCGAUAGUGAACCAGUACCGUGAGGGAAAGGCGAAAAGAACCCCGGCGAGGGGAGUGAAAAAGAACCUGAAACCGUGUACGUACAAGCAGUGGGAGCUGAGGGAAAGGCGAAAAGAACCCCGGCGAGGGGAGUGAAAAAGAACCUGAAACCGUGUACGUACAAGCAGUGGGAGCCCCACCACUAAGCCAGUGGUGAACUCCACAUACGCAUCCUUUGCUGAGGAUACGGUUAACGGAGCGCAAGCGACGUUCAACCGCAAAAGAAGCAGAGGGGGCUUAGUGGUGGGGUGACUGCGUACCUUUUGUAUAAUGGGUCAGCGACUUAUAUUCUGUAGCAAGGUUAACCGUAUAGGGGAGCCGGAGGGAAACCGAGUCUUAAUUGGGCGUUAAGUUGCAGGGUAUAGACCCGAAACCCGGUGAUCUAGCCAUGGGCAGGUUGAAGGUUGGGUAACACUAACUGGAGGACCGAACCGACUAAUGUUGAAAAAUUAGCGGAUGACCUGUGGCUGGGGGUGAAAGGCCAAUCAAACCGGGAGAUAGCUGGUUCUCCCCGAAAGCUAUUUAGGUAGCGCCUCGUGAAUUCAUCUCCGGGGGUAGAGCACUGUUUCGGCUAGGGGGCCAUCCCGGCUUACCAACCCGAUGCAAACUGCGAAUACCGGAGAAUGUUAUCACGGGAGACACACGGCGGGUGCUAACGUCCGUCGUGAAGAGGGAAACAACCCAGACCGCCAGCUAAGGUCCCAAAGUCAUGGUUAAGUGGGAAACGAUGUGGGAAGGCCCAGACAGCCAGGAUGUUGGCUUAGAAGCAGCCAUCAUUUAAAGAAAGCGUAAUAGCUCACUGGUCGAGUCGGCCUGCGCGGAAGAUGUAACGGGGCUAAACCAUGCACCGAAGCUGCGGCAGCGAACGUAUCACUUAAAGCGAUUCAGCGGGUUACGAUUGACGGAGCGAAGCGACGUCAAAGCGUAUACAAAGUCGAGUCGGUUUAAGGAUACGUUCGUUGGGUAGGGGAGCGUUCUGUAAGCCUGUGAAGGUGUGUCGUGAGGCAUGCUGGAGGUAUCAGAAGUGCGAAUGCUGUUGGGUAGGGGAGCGUUCUGUAAGCCUGUGAAGGUGGCCUGUGAGGGUUGCUGGAGGUAUCAGAAGUGCGAAUGCUGACAUAAGUAACGAUAAAGCGGGUGAAAAGCCCGCUCGCCGGAAGACCAAGGGUUCCUGUCCAACGUUAAUCGGGGCAGGGUGAGUCGACCCCUAAGGCGAGGCCGAAAGGCGUAGUCGAUGGGAAACGGGUUAAUAUUCCCGUACUUGGUGUUACUGCGAAGGGGGGACGGAGAAGGCUAUGUUGGCCGGGCGACGGUUGUCCCGGUUUAAGCGUGUAGGUGUGUGUUCCAGGUAAAUCCGGUUCACUUUAACACUGAGGCGUGAUGACGAGGCACUACGGUGCUGAAGCAACAAAUGCCCUGCUUCCAGGAAAAGCCUCUAAGCAUCAGGUAACAUCAAAUCGUACCCCAAACCGACACAGGUGGUCAGGUAGAGAAUACCAAGGCGCUUGAGAGAACUCGGGUGAAGGAACUAGGCAAAAUGGUGCCGUAACUUCGGGAGAAGGCACGCUGACAUGUAGGUGAAGUGAUUUACUCAUGGAGCUGAAGUCAGUCGAAGAUACCAGCUGGCUGCAACUGUUUAUUAAAAACACAGCACUGUGCAAACACGAAAGUGGACGUAUACGGUGUGACGCCUGCCCGGUGCCGGAAGGUUAAUUGAUGGGGUCAGCGCAAGCGAAGCUCCUGAUCGAAGCCCCGGUAAACGGCGGCCGUAACUAUAACGGUCCUAAGGUAGCGAAAUUCCUUGUCGGGUAAGUUCCGACCUGCACGAAUGGCGUAAUGAUGGCCAGGCUGUCUCCACCCGAGACUCAGUGAAAUUGAACUCGCUGUGAAGAUGCAGUGUACCCGCGGCAAGACGGAAAGACCCCGUGAACCUUUACUAUAGCUUGACACUGAACAUUGAGCCUUGAUGUGUAGGAUAGGUGGGAGGCUUUGAAGUGUGGACGCCAGUCUGCAUGGAGCCGACCUUGAAAUACCACCCUUUAAUGUUUGAUGUUCUAACGUGGACCCGUAAUCCGGGUUGCGGACAGUGUCUGGUGGGUAGUUUGACUGGGGCGGUCUCCUCCUAAAGAGUAACGGAGGAGCACGAAGGUUGGCUAAUCCUGGUCGGACAUCAGGAGGUUAGUGCAAUGGCAUAAGCCAGCUUGACUGCGAGCGUGACGGCGCGAGCAGGUGCGAAAGCAGGUCAUAGUGAUCCGGUGGUUCUGAAUGGAAGGGCCAUCGCUCAACGGAUAAAAGGUACUCCGGGGAUAACAGGCUGAUACCGCCCAAGAGUUCAUAUCGACGGCGGUGUUUGGCACCUCGAUGUCGGCUCAUCACAUCCUGGGGCUGAAGUAGGUCCCAAGGGUAUGGCUGUUCGCCAUUUAAAGUGGUACGCGAGCUGGGUUUAGAACGUCGUGAGACAGUUCGGUCCCUAUCUGCCGUGGGCGCUGGAGAACUGAGGGGGGCUGCUCCUAGUACGAGAGGACCGGAGUGGACGCAUCACUGGUGUUCGGGUUGUCAUGCCAAUGGCACUGCCCGGUAGCUAAAUGCGGAAGAGAUAAGUGCUGAAAGCAUCUAAGCACGAAACUUGCCCCGAGAUGAGUUCUCCCUGAGACUUAGAGUCUCCUGAAGGAACGUUGAAGACGACGACGUUGAUAGGCCGGGUGUGUAAGCGCAGCGAUGCGUUGAGCUAACCGGUACUAAUGAACCGUGAGGCUUAACC
rnacentral:rRNA from 1 species